rnacentral:rRNA from 1 species
GGGUUGUGAGGUUAAGCGACUAAGCGUACACGGUGGAUGCCCUGGCAGUCAGAGGCGAUGAAGGACGUGCUAAUCUGCGAUAAGCGUCGGUAAGGUGAUAUGAACCGUUAUAACCGGCGAUUUCCGAAUGGGGAAACCCAGUGUGUUUCGACACACUAUCAUUAACUGAAUCCAUAGGUUAAUGAGGCGAACCGGGGGAACUGAAACAUCUAAGUACCCCGAGGAAAAGAAAUCAACCGAGAUUCCCCCAGUAGCGGCGAGCGAACGGGGAGCAGCCCAGAGCCUGAAUCAGUGUGUGUGUUAGUGGAAGCGUCUGGAAAGGCGUGCGAUACAGGGUGACAGCCCCGUACACAAAAAUGCACAUGCUGUGAGCUCGAUGAGUAGGGCGGGACACGUGGUAUCCUGUCUGAAUAUGGGGGGACCAUCCUCCAAGGCUAAAUACUCCUGACUGACCGAUAGUGAACCAGUACCGUGAGGGAAAGGCGAAAAGAACCCCGGCGAGGGGAGUGAAAAAGAACCUGAAACCGUGUACGUACAAGCAGUGGGAGCACGCUUAGGCGUGUGACUGCGUACCUUUUGUAUAAUGGGUCAGCGACUUAUAUUCUGUAGCAAGGUUAACCGAAUAGGGGAGCCGAAGGGAAACCGAGUCUUAACUGGGCGUUAAGUUGCAGGGUAUAGACCCGAAACCCGGUGAUCUAGCCAUGGGCAGGUUGAAGGUUGGGUAACACUAACUGGAGGACCGAACCGACUAAUGUUGAAAAAUUAGCGGAUGACUUGUGGCUGGGGGUGAAAGGCCAAUCAAACCGGGAGAUAGCUGGUUCUCCCCGAAAGCUAUUUAGGUAGCGCCUCGUGAAUUCAUCUCCGGGGGUAGAGCACUGUUUCGGCAAGGGGGUCAUCCCGACUUACCAACCCGAUGCAAACUGCGAAUACCGGAGAAUGUUAUCACGGGAGACACACGGCGGGUGCUAACGUCCGUCGUGAAGAGGGAAACAACCCAGACCGCCAGCUAAGGUCCCAAAGUCAUGGUUAAGUGGGAAACGAUGUGGGAAGGCCCAGACAGCCAGGAUGUUGGCUUAGAAGCAGCCAUCAUUUAAAGAAAGCGUAAUAGCUCACUGGUCGAGUCGGCCUGCGCGGAAGAUGUAACGGGGCUAAACCAUGCACCGAAGCUGCGGCAGCGACACUAUGUGUUGUUGGGUAGGGGAGCGUUCUGUAAGCCUGUGAAGGUGUACUGUGAGGUAUGCUGGAGGUAUCAGAAGUGCGAAUGCUGACAUAAGUAACGAUAAAGCGGGUGAAAAGCCCGCUCGCCGGAAGACCAAGGGUUCCUGUCCAACGUUAAUCGGGGCAGGGUGAGUCGACCCCUAAGGCGAGGCCGAAAGGCGUAGUCGAUGGGAAACAGGUUAAUAUUCCUGUACUUGGUGUUACUGCGAAGGGGGGACGGAGAAGGCUAUGUUGGCCGGGCGACGGUUGUCCCGGUUUAAGCGUGUAGGCUGGUUUUCCAGGCAAAUCCGGAAAAUCAAGGCUGAGGCGUGAUGACGAGGCACUACGGUGCUGAAGCAACAAAUGCCCUGCUUCCAGGAAAAGCCUCUAAGCAUCAGGUAACAUCAAAUCGUACCCCAAACCGACACAGGUGGUCAGGUAGAGAAUACCAAGGCGCUUGAGAGAACUCGGGUGAAGGAACUAGGCAAAAUGGUGCCGUAACUUCGGGAGAAGGCACGCUGAUAUGUAGGUGAAGUCCCUCGCGGAUGGAGCUGAAAUCAGUCGAAGAUACCAGCUGGCUGCAACUGUUUAUUAAAAACACAGCACUGUGCAAACACGAAAGUGGACGUAUACGGUGUGACGCCUGCCCGGUGCCGGAAGGUUAAUUGAUGGGGUUAGCCGCAAGGCGAAGCUCUUGAUCGAAGCCCCGGUAAACGGCGGCCGUAACUAUAACGGUCCUAAGGUAGCGAAAUUCCUUGUCGGGUAAGUUCCGACCUGCACGAAUGGCGUAAUGAUGGCCAGGCUGUCUCCACCCGAGACUCAGUGAAAUUGAACUCGCUGUGAAGAUGCAGUGUACCCGCGGCAAGACGGAAAGACCCCGUGAACCUUUACUAUAGCUUGACACUGAACAUUGAGCCUUGAUGUGUAGGAUAGGUGGGAGGCUUUGAAGUGUGGACGCCAGUCUGCAUGGAGCCGACCUUGAAAUACCACCCUUUAAUGUUUGAUGUUCUAACGUUGACCCGUAAUCCGGGUUGCGGACAGUGUCUGGUGGGUAGUUUGACUGGGGCGGUCUCCUCCUAAAGAGUAACGGAGGAGCACGAAGGUUGGCUAAUCCUGGUCGGACAUCAGGAGGUUAGUGCAAUGGCAUAAGCCAGCUUGACUGCGAGCGUGACGGCGCGAGCAGGUGCGAAAGCAGGUCAUAGUGAUCCGGUGGUUCUGAAUGGAAGGGCCAUCGCUCAACGGAUAAAAGGUACUCCGGGGAUAACAGGCUGAUACCGCCCAAGAGUUCAUAUCGACGGCGGUGUUUGGCACCUCGAUGUCGGCUCAUCACAUCCUGGGGCUGAAGUAGGUCCCAAGGGUAUGGCUGUUCGCCAUUUAAAGUGGUACGCGAGCUGGGUUUAGAACGUCGUGAGACAGUUCGGUCCCUAUCUGCCGUGGGCGCUGGAGAACUGAGGGGGGCUGCUCCUAGUACGAGAGGACCGGAGUGGACGCAUCACUGGUGUUCGGGUUGUCAUGCCAAUGGCACUGCCCGGUAGCUAAAUGCGGAAGAGAUAAGUGCUGAAAGCAUCUAAGCACGAAACUUGCCCCGAGAUGAGUUCUCCCUGACUCCUUGAGAGUCCUGAAGGAACGUUGAAGACGACGACGUUGAUAGGCCGGGUGUGUAAGCGCAGCGAUGCGUUGAGCUAACCGGUACUAAUGAACCGUGAGGCUUAACCUUACAACGCCGAAGGUGUUU